AUUUAGAUUUAAAAAUUAAAAUUUUAAAUUUUAAAUAUUUCAAUUUUAAAUUAUUUUUUGAAUUAAAAUAUCAAAUUUUAAAUUUUGUAUAAUUUUGAAAUUUAAACUUUGAAAUUUUAAAUUUAAACUUUGAAAUUUAUAAUUAAAAUUUAGAUUUAAAAAUUUAAAAUUUAAAUUUUAAAUUUUUAAAUUUAAAAUUAUUUUUAAAUUAAAAUAUCAAAUUUUAAAUUAUCUAAACUUAGCCAAACGCUCUACAGGUUUUAACCAAAAUUACUUCUGCAAACCAAAAUCACUUUUUUAGAAAUUAUUUUUUUUCAGAAUUUAGGCCAAACGGGCCCAUAUAUACUUACAACUUUU
rnacentral:lncRNA from 1 species